rnacentral:lncRNA from 1 species
CACAGCUAGGGAGUAUCUAAGGUUUGAUUUAAACCCAGAACCUACCACUUCUGAACCUGGCUCUCAGUAUUUGUAUCUUUUCAAAAGAGAGACCGUGAAAUAUACUGCUGUGUACUGUGGGUGUGUUUACUUCAGAUUUUUUUAGCAGCUUUCUCCCCUUAUAGUUGGAGAUGUUCUGCUGCUCUUCAUUCCCUUUGGCACACUUUCUUCUUUCUGCUAGUAGCUAUGGAAACACAGAUGUCCCUGGUUUGGGUAGACCUCAGCAACAUCCACACCAUGGAUCCCAAAUCAAUUUGGAUAGUCGGGAAGGGACCAGUGUCUGGGCUAGGGAUAAUGUUUCAGAUGGUAAAACUGAAGCACAGAGUGGUAAUUGACUUCACUCAGAAUCAAGAAGUGAUGUGGGGCUCCCUCAAGUCUCCAUCUCCACAUGGAAGUCCUGGUGGCAUCUUCAGCCAGAGGUUCAUCAACUUAAGCCUCUUCCUUCAGCUCCAGUCACUCAACCAGCAAAUCUCUCCAGAGCAGAAAGCUCCAGUUCAGAAUGAUUCCUGGAAAAGAGAAAUCCUUUGUCUUCGGAAAGCAGAACUGAAGUUGAACCUUUCUGGAAGCAGACACUCAAUUAACUAGAGAGAAUAGGAGUGAAUUGCUAUGUUCCUAGUGGCAAUAAAGGUACCACCAUCCAGGAUUUGAAAUCUUGGCAUCAACCUUGACUCUUGUAAUGUUGUGGAAGAAAGAAAAUAGGAAAAGUUUGCAGCAGAGUUGGAGUAGCUGAGAAUGCUGAGCUGUCACUCAAGGAGAACAUUCUAAUUGGAAUGAUGAUCAGAAAAGACUGUUGAGAAAGGAGGAAACAAACUGAAAUCUGGGUCUUUUUGCCUUGGAGACAGAAAGGAAGAAGGGUCUCUUGGGUUGGGGACAGAAAGAAAGGACAAAAGUCCAGCUCUGUCUUAUUUCUUUGCUGUACUAUAGUGACUAAAUUUCCAGACCUGUUAACCAAAUUUCCCAAUCUGACCUAUAUUUCACCAUCCUUCAACCUAGGAAUUAUUCUAGUGUUAGGGAAACCCCAAACCCUUUCCUUCCAUUUCCUUAUCUUUCCCUUAUUCCCCAAUAAACCCCUUA